CAAUCUUCCUACACAUUGUCAGUUGUCAGUGUCAAAUGUAAAUAUUUAUAGAUUAAAGAUCCUAAACAAAUUCUGCUGGUAAACCAAGGAAAAGAUGCCGGCACUUGGUUUGAUGCAUAGAGUGAAAUUGGCAAUUUUGCGACCACAAAACCGGUAUCUUGAGCCUGGAAAACUGUUCGGUUUUUGCCAGCUUUGUCAAAGUGUGCGACCUAACCUCAAGGUACCAGUUGCGGUGGGAAACUCAAACUUGCCCUAUUCUACAGCGGCAAAACGGGACGUUGGCGUAAGCGACGACGGCAAAAAACACAUUAAUAUCGGUACCAUUGGCCAUGUGGACCAUGGCAAAACCACUCUCACCGCUGCCAUUACGAAAUAUUUGCAACAUCAAGGGCUGGCCAAAUUUGUCUCUUAUGACGAAAUUGAUAGGGCUCCUGAGGAAAAAGCCAGAGGUAUCACAAUAAAUGCGUGCCAUGUGGGGUACAGUACGAAGACUCGCCAUUACGCACACACUGACUGUCCAGGGCACGCCGACUACAUAAAAAACAUGAUUUCUGGAGCGUCGCAAAUGGACGGGGCUAUUUUAGUGGUGGCGGCCACCGAUGGCCAAAUGCCCCAAACCAGGGAACACUUGCUGCUUGCCAAGCAAGUGGGCGUAACCAAGAUCGUUGUCUACGUGAACAAGGCCGACUUAGUGGACCAAGAAGUUUUAGAACUAGUCGAGCUAGAGGUCAGAGAGCUGCUAGAGGACUUUGGGUUCGAUGGCUCUGGAUGCCCGGUGAUUUUUGGAUCGGCACUACAAGCUCUGCAGGGCAAUGACAGUGAAAUAGGAACCCAGUCUAUUCAACAGCUGUUGGAUGCGGUUGACUCGUACGUGCCCUAUCCAGAGCGCGACUUCACUUCUCCAUUCUUGUUGCCAAUAGACAAUGCUUUUCUGGUACCAGGACGGGGGACGGUUGUGAUCGGCACUCUAAGCAGGGGUGUGUUGAAGAAAAACGCCGAUGCUGAGAUGUUGGGAUUCGAUACUUGCUUGAAGACCAGUGUCAAUGAUAUACAGGUGUUCAGGAAGAGUCUGCCUGAAGCGAAAGCUGGAGAAAACAUCGGGGCGCUGAUUCGCAACAUAAAGCUAAAAGACAUUAAACGGGGCAUGCUGCUUUGUGCCUCAAAAAGCGUCACUUUGAGCAAUCGGUUUAAGGCGAGCAUUUAUUUCCUUUCUAAAGCCGAGGGCGGCCGAUCCAAACCCGUUACCAGCAAGUACUGUCAGCAGCUGUAUAGUAAAACCUGGAAUGUCCCGUGCAGGGUAGACAUUGAUAACGACGCCAUGAUUAUACCCGGCGAACACGGCAACAUCAAGCUCACACUUUUAUGGAAAAUGGUAAUGUCGAAAGGCCAACAAUUCACAAUUCGGGAGAACAAUGUCACUGUUGCCACUGGGAUUAUAACGGAGAACUUGCCGAACGCGCGCGUGAUAGGGAAUCUGGGAAAGUUGGAGCUGCCUGAUUGAUCAGGACAUUUUGGCGUCGUUGAGAUGACGCCAAAAGUGACGGCGGUGGCGCCCUUGCCGGCGUCGGUCCUUCUGCAAAAACAACAAAUUGUUUCAACUCGGGGGAGCCCGCCAAAAAAAGUUUGGCAACGUUUCGCCGGAAUGGGGAGCGAUGGUGUCAUGCUUUUAGGAACUUGUUUACCUCGAAGUGGACGGAAAAAUCAUAAAAGUUAUUUGUUUGAUAAACGAUUUUUGAUAUGAAGAGCAAGCUCGGGUGCGCGAGAAGGAAAGGUUUGCUUCUUGAAGAAAAGUGGCCCUAAAAUUGGAAAAAAAGUGGAAACAACCACAGCUAAAGAAAGAAAAGAGAAACUGGACGAAGUGUUUUUGGAAGUAAAAAACUGUGGAAGGAGUUGGCGCAGUGUUGCACAUAUGCCUUGGUGCGCCAACCCAAUGCACCUGCUAGCAUUGCGCCAACUCUUGAAAAUUCACUGAGUAACCAGGCCUAGUUGAUAGCGUGUUGUUUUCUUAGGCAGCUGGACGUACCUGCAAUUAGGACUGUUUCUUCUGCAUCUAUUGAGCAAUAAAGAACAUUUUUCUGCAA
rnacentral:misc_RNA from 1 species